AGAGUUAUGAGACUUCAAUGAGAUAAUAUGCAAACCAUAAAGCACUCUAAAAAAGUGAGAUGUUAGAACUAGUGUAAUAUAUUAUUUUAAAUGUAAUAUAGCAUAUUUUAUAUAGUACCUAUGUACUGAAAAACUCAAGGAAAAGUCAAAGAGUGUGGAAGAACCCAAGAUGUUCAAUUGCCAUAAGUCCCUCUAGGUUGGUGAGUCCCAGGAAAAAAGAGACGAUGAUAAAGUAAUCUGCUCACUCAAUCAGACAAAUAUAGAAAAGAGAGGCAAGAACAGAGAAGCAAAAUCACCUAGUCAGUCAAUUCACAGGUAUGAGAAAUGGCAGAAAAAUUAAAGCAAAUACAUAAGUGUUUUAGUGCAUAUGACAAGAGCCUACGGUCAGGGAAGUGAGGGGAGUAAGACAAAGAAAAUAAGGACCUCUGUAUAACUGGCACUUUAGAGAUAGAGUGGAUGAAGGAUUAGAAAUAGCCCAGUCUACAAGUCAAGUAAGCAAGCAUUUAUUAAGCGCCUUUUAUGUUCCAGAAAGAAAUGGCAUUAAAGAUGCAAACAUUAAACACCAGGCAUAUAAAGAAAGGCAGAAUCAGCCCCUUCCUUCAAGGAACUCAUAUACUUACUGCAGGGAGAGAGAACAUGCAAAGAACUUUGUAUGAAGAAGAAAAUAUAGGAAAAAUCACAGGUAAUCUCAAAGGCACAGUGUUGAAGUGGAUAGAGCACUAUUUGAGGAAUUGGGAAGAUCUUUCUCAAUUUGUAGAGGAAUAUCUACAUCAGGGACAGCUGCUGUGUGAUUCUUUCAGGGUAGCUUCCUUUGAAUCAGGAUGGUGUCGUUACCAGAAAAGUGGGCUUUGAGUUAGGAAGAUAAGGGUUCCUUUCCUGUCCCAGACACUUGUUAGGAGUGUGACCCUGGGCAAAUCUCUUAAUCCUGUAAAAAUGGACUUGAAUCCAGGACUUCAAUCCCCAGAAUUCCUUGCUCCACUUCCCCAGAAUGCUUUGUAAUAUCACUAAAUUCUCACCUGGGCCGAGAUCAGGGAAGGGGUAUUUAACCUGAUUGGAAAGGCUUUUUCGGCUCUUUCCUGUUUCCGCUUGCAAGCAGACAAGGCUCUUUUCAUAAUGUAGGUGAGGUUGUCUAGGCCCCUGGGCCUAGACACGUGCUUUCUUAUCCUGAAUUUUCUUUAAUCCUUAAUCUUCAAUAAACCUCUAAAAAUAUAAUACUCCUUGCAGAGAGAAACUAAUUUCUAUCUGCCUCAGUAUCCCCUAAAUUUUAAUCUUUACAACCCGGCUUGCCUCAGUUCCUCAUCUGUAAAAUGGGGACACACUGGAGAAGGAAACUUGUGAACAAAAAUCCAUGGGACUACAUAGAAAUUAACAAUACAAAAUGACUCAUCAACAACAAUAAACCUCAGAAGGAAGCCAUUAGUGGGAUUAGAAAAGGCUUCCUGAAGAAGGUACAAUUUCAGCUGAACUACAAACUACAAAGGAAGACUAUGAUAGGAAAAGAGAAAGAGAUGUAGCAUUAUAUGUGACAAAUCACAUUAAGUUAUAGGAUAAAACUUUUUCUAAGCUAAUAAAAACAGAAUAUUUCUCUGUGGUUCAAAAGUUAAUACUUUAAAUGAUUAAAAUGUGAUACCUAAACUAUAGGCUACCUAAUCCAGACAAUGAGACCAUGCUAGAAAUAUUAAAUAAGAGAAGGAAAGCUGAAAAAUUAGGCUAAAUUAGAAUAUAAAAAACUUAUUCUUUUUUAGUCCUUUAUGAUCAUUCACAUUUCCCUUUUGAUGUUACCCUUGAUUCCUAUGUUUGCAUUUCAAAGUUUCUGCACAGAAAAAUCCUUAGAAGUUCUAUAUUUCAUUAAAAGUCCGUUCCUCCUCCCUCCCCAUCCCCGAAGCAUUAUAUUCAAUUUUUCAAGGUAAAAUAUUUAUUUUUGUCUUUUUUUGAUUGAAAUUUUUUAUUUAAUUAAUUAAUUUGAAAUAUUUUUCCAUGGUUACAUGAUUUAUGUUCUUUCCCUCCUCUCCCACUCUCCACCCUGUAGCUAAUGCACAAUUCCACUGGGUUUUACAUGUGUCAUUGAUCAAGACCUAUUUCCAUAUUAUUGAUAAUUGCACUAGGGUGAUCGUUUAGGGUCUACAUCCCUAACCAUAUCCUCAUCAACCCAUGUGAUCAAGUAGUUGUUUUUCUUCAAUGUUUCUGCUCCCACACAGUUCUCCCUCUGAAUGUGGAUAGUGUUCUUUCUCAUAAGUGGGUAAAAUAUUCUUAACUAUAAGCCCCUACAUUUUCCCUCUUGAAAUAUAACAUUGUCAGUUCUCCACCUCUUUAUUGGAACCUUCAGUUGUCCAUACAUAGAUGAAUGGGUUUUAAUUGUAUGAUGUAUGGUAUUCAAUGAAGUCCUACUCUGAUAGCUCAUCAUGCAUGAAUGUAACCGAGUAUUCUAAAAGGUUAUAUAUAGCAGUGGAGAACUAGCUCUGGCAAUGCCUGUUUUACUGAAAAGUCUUUAAGCGUGGUUUUAGCAAUAGAUUAUAUGGUUCCUAAGCACAGAGAGGUUCACCUCCAUUUGAUUGGCCAUGGCAACCCAUGAAGGCAAGAAUACAAAAUGACUCUGAAUCCUGUGUGGCUUCUAUAAUGACAGAGAAAGUGAUAGAAAAUGGGUCAGAGGCUCUUAAGAAUUACAAUUUUUAGACUGUUUUUGAAGCUAAAUUAACUGUUAGUAUUCUAAAUACAAGAUCCUUAUCUAACUACCAACAAAUCAACAUGGAGAAAGAGGACCAUAUAAAUGAUAUUGCCAAUAAAAAUGAAACCAGAAGAUGAAAGGAAACUGCCUUUAAAUUUAAGAUUGGGUCUCCAUGGAAAGAUAAAUAAAAAUAUUGACCCAACUGGUUUUUUCAUAUUUCCAAAAACUAUAAGAAACAUAAUUUCAUGGGUAACUGUCAUCUCAUUUUAUAGUCCUGAUGAGCACAGGCAAAAUGAUUGUCAUGAAGAUUAUUGCAGCUCAUGUAUUGUUUAUUUUAUUGCCUAAGCAGGUAGAAAUGUCCUAAGUAGGGCCUUCCAAUUGAACAUAUAUCCUGAUUCUGGUGACUUCAGUACAACGAUGGGGAUAAUGGAAGAUGAUGAAGACAAGGAUGAAAAAUAAGAUUGUAGAUUAUAUAAAAGCCUCAUGCUUAAAUAUCAUGAAUAUUCUCUUCAAAAGGAGAUCUGUCAAGUAUUUGACAUCAUGAGAAUGGAGUAACAUCUCAGAAGGUGAAAUAGACUGUAUUUUAACUGACAGGAAAUGAGUGAUUACUAAUAGGAGUUUUUUAUGUAUCAUCUAUGUGGAAUUAUACCAUUGAUUUGUUAGCACAAAGAUCAAAAUCAGUAUCAAGUUGGAAGAAAGAAAAAAGAUGAAAAGAUUCAGCACAUGGCUUAACUAGCUUGAAAUCCAGUUAUUUAAGCAAGCUAAUGACAUGAGAACAUGGGGAAUAGAAGAAGGAAAAGUCAUUGACACCGAUUAUCAUUAUUUCUUUUGGAAGAUGUAAAGCAUUGUAAAGUGAUAAGCACAAAGAAGAAGCCAAAAUAUCAUAACCAUCUUAGCCAGGAAGCUCUUGAUGUCCUGGCUGUAGUGGGAAAUGUUGGUUUAGAAUCAAACUCAACAACAAAACCUUAUUGAGGAAGAUAAUGAAAAAUUAUAAAUAGCAGUACCUUAUAAAACAACAUGAAAUAUUGGAGGGAAAGAUGAGUUUAUAGUGGUCUCUGAAUAAAAUCUAAUUUAAUCAAAGUAUCCUAAGAGCAUUUAAAGAUAGAACUGAAGGAAUAGAACAAACAUUUGAAAUAUGGGACAGAUAUAUCAGCAUUUGUAUAAUAUCUUAUUUUCUUAAUCAAUAUUUAAACUUUAACUUCAUUGUCCCUGAUGUGCUUCAAAAGGAAAUGAAAAUGACAUGAAAGAAAAUGAAGAUCAAUGAAGAAAAUGAAGGGCAUCUGUACCAAAUCAAGAAAAUCUGUACUGGAGGAAACAAAAUGUUGAAGGUGUUAAGUAGUUGAUUCCCAAGUUGUCUGAAACAAGGGGAGAAAUCUAAUAUUUGGAAAAAUCACCAAUAUUAUUACUGCCUAAAAAAAGGAACUUGGAGGAAAGGUUUCAGAAUAUUGGUUGGACCACUAUGGGAAGACUUGGCCAAGAGUUCUAUGGAAUGAGAAAACAUGGAUGAUGUGAUUUAUACUCCUGGAAGGACUCCAUACUAAUGGGAUCAUGUGUUCUGUAUCUCUUGAAAAACCAGAGAUAUAGGAUGUGGAGGUUCCAGACGAUUGGCACAUCACAUCAGUGUCAUAGAAGAUUCUCUAAUAAAUGUAGACCUAAAAUAAAAAUCUGCAUCAUACGUCU